UACGUAGGGUGCAAGCGUUGUCCGGAAUUAUUGGGCGUAAAGAGCUCGUAGGCGGUCUGUCGCGUCGGCUGUGAAAACCCGGAGCUCAACUCCGGGCCUGCAGUCGAUACGGGCAAACUGGAGUACUGCAGGGGAGACUGGAAUUCCUGGUGUAGCGGUGAAAUGCGCAGAUAUCAGGAGGAACACCGGUGGCGAAGGCGGGUCUCUGGGGCAGUAACUGACGCUGAGGAGCGAAAGCGUGGGGAGCGAACAGG
rnacentral:rRNA from 1 species